rnacentral:lncRNA from 1 species
GGAAAGAGUUUAGGACCUAUCUGUUUUACAGCCUGCUUCUGUCCCGGGCAAAAUCCCCCAGCCAGGGCUCUGGAGCUGGGCUGGGGACAAUGGUGUGCUUCUUUCAGAGUGAUAGCCCUGUUUAGGAGUUGAGCAUGUGGUGGAAGGGAGGAAUUAGCCUCAGGUCUUCUCAGCUUGCCUCUCCUGGUGUGAAACCAGCACUUUCUAACUCAGGUCAGGCAUGAUUGUGACAUCAUGCCGUGAGAGAGCCUCCACUGCGGAACAGGAGUCCCCACCUCUUGGCCAUACUUGCCCGGAACUCAGCCUCAGCCACAGGUAGCUGGGGCAGCAUGAGAAAUGCUGAUGUCCGGCUCCUCCCCGGAAGAAAGCCCCUCACGGGGAGCUGAGGGGAGAGUGAGCCCUGUGCUCUUGGCUGCAGUCUGGAGUGGACUUUUUUCUCGCAUAAACCCACAAGGUUGAGGAGGAGAGGAGUAGAGAUCACAGCAACGCAAUUCUGGAAAUGGAAAGCAGAAGGAUAAGAGAUCCCAGACACCGGGCCUGGUCGCUGAGGAAAUGCGAAGCUCUAAGCAGCCGAAAGAGAGGGGCUCGUUGAGGAGGAUCGUGCCUCCAGAAGGAGGACGACCCAGUUCACCCACUGAGGCGGAAGGAGGGAAGGGCCAGAGGGGAACAUUAACCAAACGUCAACAGGAUGUGUGAGGACUGCCACGACAGCAGAGUGAACACGCCAGCAUCCUCUCCUAAGUAAACUUCAGACUUCCAUUACUAACACCAACAUCCGUCCUGCUGCUUAAUCCUCUUAAUCCCUCUAACGCACUCACGACCCGGGGACAACUUUUGCAUGCUGUUACCUGCUCUCAUUUUCAUACACUUCAAAAAACCCCAAAUGAUGCCUGAUUACCAAAAGAGCAAGAACAAAAUCUGCUGACCGAGAAGCAGCUGGGAGAACAGCGGUGGACAAAGCAGAAAACCGCGAGCAGUGUUAGCCGCACUUCAACAUUUUCAAUCCUCUCCAUCUGCCGACUUAGAAACAUGAGCCCCAGGAAUGUGAAAAAUGAGGAACAAUGUUAAUUAAAGGCAGAUGGAUUAGCAAUAGUGGGGACCUGAUCAGUGACUCCUGAAAGGAGGGAGGAAAAGAGAGAGACCGGGAUUAAUGAAAGACAAAUGAUGCUGCAACCUUGAACGGAGGAUCAUGGCUCCACCCGUUGGUCAAGUCCUCUAUUCCUGGCCCCUGCUUUGAAUCCUUACAAGUUCACUCCUGGUGGGAAGAGCCUUAGGGUUUGGAAGCUUGAACUUGCCCUUGGAGUUCUUGGUCCAAGCUGGAAUGGGUCAAGGAAAAGGGUGGGAGCUAUUUAGUAUGACAACUUCUCUCACUGAACUGUGUGUUCCUGUCAAAAUUUCAUUUCAAAUUUAUGAGAGAACUAGGCUUCCAAGAAAACGAGUUCAAAAUGUAUAUCUGGUCGAGAGUGUUUACAGCAAGAAAGAAUGACUCGAUACUGUUGUGAAGCCAGGUAUAAGGAAGGAAUGUCUGGUGAAAUGCAUUAGGCUUACUCCCUGGUGGGUUAAGACCACCUAGAAAGGCUUCUCUUAGACUGGCUUCCCAGAAGCGGAGCCUGACGCAGGGAUCUGGAGGCAUGUGGCCACUGGAGGGCUCUUCAGAAAAUACAUGUAAGGCAGAGAGGACAGGGACAACCAAGAUGAGAUCUCAGGUGAAGUCUAGCCUUGGGGAUUCAAGUGGAGAUCACACCACAGAAUGGUCCUGACCUAAGGCAAGAGGGUGGGCUCUCGCACCCCUUUGGUGAGGCAUCGGCUUCCAGGCGUGGGGGCGGGGUGGAGUGCCCCAAGAUUGUCAGGGCGAGGGGCUCCCAUCAGCCAAGGGCAGUCCCCCAGAGAGGGGCACAGGUGUCAGCCAAUAGCUUGGGGACCGUUGCAUUGGCCCAUGACAGGGAUUUGGGUGGGUCCCCCUGCAAUAGUCUGUUACUCCUGGCGAGCCAGACUCUGCCUCUGAUAGCCUAUCAGGAGACUGCACAACUCUAGCGCCAGAAAUGCCAGCUGAGCGACUUCACCUUUCUUCAGGCGAGAGACAGCUAUCUUUCUGAGAAGCGUGUGUCUUAUCCCUUCUCCUGCUGCGUGCUUCUUGGACAGUGUCCCGGGAGGGGCUCGAAUUGUCCCCCAGUUACACCAUUUGCUCUUCUCUGGCGAUGAUUUUUGGUAAGCCUCUGAAGGAGAAGUUUGUAAAAAUGACUCUAAUCGAUGAAUGCUAAGUGAUAUAUAUCUAUAUAUAUAUAUUUUCCCACCCGCAAUGUAGGAUAAUCUUUAGAUGUGUCUAGUGAUGUGUGAUGAGGGUGGAGGAACUCCAUUCUCUGCAUCUUUACUAGAAUGGGUCUUAGAGCAUUUUUAAAGGUUCUCCUUAUUUCCCAGGAAGAUAGAUAACAUUUUUAUUGAAUCCUUUAAGGAGUACAAUUCAGUGGAUUUUACUAUAUGGUUUGGCAUAUUCACAAAAUUGUUAAAUUUUCCUAUAUAUUUACUAUAUUAGAAAAACCCAAUUUUUUUGUGGUGAACAUGAUGUAAUGUAUACAGAAUUCGAAAUAUGAUGUACAUCUGAAAAAAAGAAAAAUUAAAAAAAAGAAAAGAAAAAAGAAAAACCCAG